rnacentral:rRNA from 1 species
GGAAACUGGGUCUAAUACCGAAUAUGACCACGCUCUUCAUGGGGUGUGGUGGAAAGCUUUUGCGGUGUGGGAUGGGCCCGCGGCCUAUCAGCUUGUUGGUGGGGUAAUGGCCUACCAAGGCGACGACGGGUAGCCGGCCUGAGAGGGUGACCGGCCACACUGGGACUGAGAUACGGCCCAGACUCCUACGGGAGGCAGCAGUGGGGAAUAUUGCACAAUGGGCGCAAGCCUGAUGCAGCGACGCCGCGUGAGGGAUGACGGCCUUCGGGUUGUAAACCUCUUUCACCAGGGACGAAGCGCAAGUGACGGUACCUGGAGAAGAAGCACCGGCCAACUACGUGCCAGCAGCCGCGGUAAUACGUAGGGUGCGAGCGUUGUCCGGAAUUACUGGGCGUAAAGAGCUCGUAGGUGGUUUGUCGCGUUGUUCGUGAAAACUCACAGCUUAACUGUGGGCGUGCGGGCGAUACGGGCAGACUAGAGUACUGCAGGGGAGACUGGAAUUCCUGGUGUAGCGGUGGAAUGCGCAGAUAUCAGGAGGAACACCGGUGGCGAAGGCGG